rnacentral:rRNA from 1 species
CACGUAGGCACCAAGCGUUGUCCGGAUUUAUUGGGCGUAAAGAGCUCGUAGGCGGUUCAGUAAGUCGGGUGUGAAAACUUUGGGCUUAACCCAAAGCGUGCAUCCGAUACUGCUGUGACUUGAGUUCGGUAGGGGAGUGGGGAAUUCCUAGUGUAGCGGUGAAAUGCGCAGAUAUUAGGAGGAACACCGGUGGCGAAGGCGC